UACGAAGGGGGGCUAGCGUUGCUCGGAAUCACUGGGCGUAAAGCGCACGUAGGCGGCUUUUUAAGUCAGGGGUGAAAUCCUGGAGCUCAACUCCAGAACUGCCUUUGAUACUGGGAGCUCGAGUCCGGGAGAGGUGAGUGGAACUCCGAGUGUAGAGGUGAAAUUCGUAGAUAUUCGGAAGAACACCAGUGGCGAAGGCGGCUCACUGGCCCGGUACUGACGCUGAGGUGCAAAAGCGUGGGGAGCAAACAGGA
rnacentral:rRNA from 1 species